rnacentral:rRNA from 1 species
UAGGGAAUCUUCCGCAAUGGGCGAAAGCCUGACGGAGCAACGCCGCGUGAGUGAUGAAGGUCUUCGGAUCGUAAAACUCUGUUAUUAGGGAAGAACAAAUGUGUAAGUAACUAUGCACAUCUUGACGGUACCUAAUCAGAAAGCCACGGCUAACUACGUGCCAGCAGCCGCGGUAAUACGUAGGUGGCAAGCGUUAUCCGGAAUUAUUGGGCGUAAAGCGCGCGUAGGCGGUUUUUUAAGUCUGAUGUGAAAGCCCACGGCUCAACCGGGGAGGGUCAUUGGAAACUGGUUGACUUGAGUGCAGAAGAGGAGAGUGGAAUUCCAUGUGUAGCGGUGAAAUGCGUAGAUAUAUGGAGGAACACCAGUGGCGAAGGCGACUCUCUGGUCUGUAACUGACGCUGAGGUUCGAAAGCGUGGGUAGCAAACAGG